rnacentral:tRNA from 1 species
GCACCUUUAGUUCAAUGGAUAGAAUAUCGGAUUCCGGUUCCGACGAUAUGGGUUCGAUUCCCAUAGGGUGUA